rnacentral:rRNA from 1 species
GAUGAACGCUGGCGGCGUGCCUAAUACAUGCAAGUCGAGCGAACAGACGAGGAGCUUGCUCCUCUGACGUUAGCGGCGGACGGGUGAGUAACACGUGGAUAACCUACCUAUAAUACUGGGAUAACUUCGGGAAACCGGAGCUAAUACCGGAUAAUAUAUUGAACCGCAUGGUUCAAUAGUGAAAGACGGUUUUGCUGUCUCUUAUAGAUUGAUCCUCGCCGCAUUUGCUAGUUGGUAAGGUAACGGCUUACCAAGGCUACGAUGCGUAGCCGACCUGAGAGGGUGAUCGGCCACACUGGAACUGAGACACGGUCCAGACUACUACGGGAGGCAGCAGUAGGGAAUCUUCCGCAAUGGGCGAAAGCAUGACGGAGCAACGCCGCGUGAGUGAUGAAGGUCUUCGGAUCGUAAAACUCUGUUAUUAGGGAAGAACAAAUGUGUAAGUAACUAUGCACGUCUUGACGGUACCUAAUCAGAAAGCCACGGCUAACUACGUG